rnacentral:hammerhead_ribozyme from 1 species
AUCCAGGUACGAGUCCCAAAUAGGACGAAACGCGCGUCCUGGAU